rnacentral:rRNA from 1 species
AGAGUUUGAUCCUGGCUCAGGAUGAACGCUGGCGGCGUGCCUAAUACAUGCAAGUCGAGCGAACCACUUCGGUGAAGAGUGGCGAACGGGUGAGUAACACGUAGGUGAUCUGCCCAUCUAGACGGGGACAACUGAUGGAAACGAUCGCUAAUACCGGAUAGGACGAAAGUUUAAAGGUGCUUCUGGCACCGCUGAUGGAUGAGCCUGCGGCGCAUUAGCUAGUUGGUAGGGUAAAGGCCUACCAAGGCGACGAUGCGUAGCCGACCUGAGAGGGUGAACGGCCACACUGGGACUGAGACACGGCCCAGACUCCUACGGGAGGCAGCAGUAGGGAAUCUUCGGCAAUGGGCGAAAGCCUGACCGAGCAACGCCGCGUGAAUGAUGAAGGCCUUCGGGUUGUAAAAUUCUGUUAUAAGGGAAGAACGACUUUAGUAGGAAAUGGCUAGAGUGUGACGGUACCUUACUGAGAAAGCCACGGCUAACUACGUGCCAGCAGCCGCGGUAAUACGUAGGUGGCGAGCGUUAUCCGGAAUUAUUGGGCGUAAAGAGCGCGCAGGUGGUUGAUUAAGUCUGAUGUGAAAGCCCACGGCUUAACCGUGGAGGGUCAUUGGAAACUGGUCGACUUGAGUGCAGAAGAGGGAAGUGGAAUUCCAUGUGUAGCGGUGAAAUGCGUAGAGAUAUGGAGGAACACCAGUGGCGAAGGCGGCUUCCUGGACUGUAACUGACACUGAGGCGCGAAAGCGUGGGGAGCAAACAGGAUUAGAUACCCUGGUAGUCCACGCCGUAAACGAUGAGUGCUAAGUGUUGGGGGUCGAACCUCAGUGCUGAAGUUAACGCAUUAAGCACUCCGCCUGGGGAGUACGGUCGCAAGACUGAAACUCAAAGGA